AUACGAGUAAUACAGUAGUACUAACAUGAAGGUUUUGGCAUACGUGUUGGCUAUUUUAGCCAUUGUGUUUGCAGUUGUGAGCGGCAUGUCCGUGGGUGAUAAGCCAGCUGCUCUGAAAGAAGGUGCAAAGCGAGCUGGAUGUAAUGGAGGAGGGGGUGGUAGACCUCAGCAACCACCAUCGCAGCCACCAUCGCAGCCACCAGCACCACCAGCAACGGCAGCGCCAUCUAACAGCACUGGUUGAACGCAACAAAGGACUACGGCUAGACGUAUGACCCAACAACAUUGAACCAAUAAAC